AACGAACGCUGGCGGCAUGCCUAACACAUGCAAGUCGAACGAGACCUUCGGGUCUAGUGGCGCACGGGUGCGUAACGCGUGGGAACCUGCCCUUAGGUUCGGAAUAACUCCCCGAAAGGGGUGCUAAUACCGGAUAAUGUCUUCGGACCAAAGAUUUAUCGCCUUUGGAUGGGCCCGCGUUGGAUUAGCUAGUUGGUAGGGUAAAAGCCUACCAAGGCGACGAUCCAUAGCUGGUCUGAGAGGAUGAUCAGCCACACUGGGACUGAGACACGGCCCAGACUCCUACGGGAGGCAGCAGUGGGGAAUAUUGGACAAUGGGCGAAAGCCUGAUCCAGCAAUGCCGCGUGAGUGAUGAAGGCCUGAGGGUUGUAAAGCUCUUUUACCCGGGAUGAUAAUGACAGUACCUGGAGAAUAAGCUCCGGCUAACUCCGUG
rnacentral:rRNA from 1 species